GUAGCCGGUCUGAGAGGAUGAACGGCCACAUUGGGACUGAGACACGGCCCAGACUCCUACGGAGGCAGCAGUGGGGAAUCUUCCGCAAUGGACGAAAGUCUGACGGAGCAACGCCGCGUGAGUGAAGAAGGUCUUCGGAUUGUAAAACUCUGUUAUACGGGACGAAAAAGGCGGAUGCCAACAGUAUCCGUCCGUGACGGUACCGUAAGAGAAAGCCACGGGCUAACUACGUGCCAGCAGCCGCGGUAAAU
rnacentral:rRNA from 1 species